CCUAAGGAUAUUUUAAAAGGAUUAACCUUAAUUCUAAAAAUAGAAUUUUGUGGUUAUUAUGAUAAAAAGGAUCAAGAUAGCCAAUCUAGUUAUAUCCUUUCUAAGAUUAAAUUAUGUGAUAUUAGAUAUUUAGAAGAUUUUUCUAAAAAAUUUCUUCAUGAAUAUCAAAAGUUAAAAAAUAAAAAUAUAGACUUUUGGAAAAACCAAUAUUUUCAUAAACUACCCCCACCCUGGGAUGAGAUAUGUAUAAACAAAUAUGUGUCUUAUUUAGAGAAGCACAGUAAAACAUCUGGACUUCUAGCAGAAAAUUUAGAUACUAUAGGUAAAAGGAUAAACU
rnacentral:lncRNA from 1 species